CGAGCGAACUGAUUAGAAGCUUGCUUCUAUGACGUUAGCGGCGGACGGGUGAGUAACACGUGGGCAACCUGCCUGUAAGACUGGGAUAACUUCGGGAAACCGAAGCUAAUACCGGAUAGGAUCUUCUCCUUCAUGGGAGAUGAUUGAAAGAUGGUUUCGGCUAUCACUUACAGAUGGGCCCGCGGUGCAUUAGCUAGUUGGUGAGGUAACGGCUCACCAAGGCAACGAUGCAUAGCCGACCUGAGAGGGUGAUCGGCCACACUGGGACUGAGACACGGCCCAGACUCCUACGGGAGGCAGCAGUAGGGAAUCUUCCGCAAUGGACGAAAGUCUGACGGAGCAACGCCGCGUGAGUGAUGAAGGCUUUCGGGUCGUAAAACUCUGUUGUUAGGGAAGAACAAGUACAAGAGUAACUGCUCGUACCUUGACGGUACCUAACCAGAAAGCCACGGCUAACUACGUGCCAGCACCGCCCGGUAAUA
rnacentral:rRNA from 2 species